rnacentral:tRNA from 1 species
UGCAUCGGCCGGGAAUCGAACCCGGGCCGCCCGCGUUCAUUCUCGCCAUUGAACUACCGAUGC